UUGAAUUGAAGAGUUUGAUCAUGGCUCAGAUUGAACGCUGGCGGCAGGCUUAACACAUGCAAGUCGAACGGUAGCAGGAGGAAGCUUGCUUUCUUGCUGACGAGUGGCGGACGGGUGAGUAAUGCUU
rnacentral:rRNA from 1 species